rnacentral:rRNA from 1 species
CCUACGGGAGGCAGCAGUGGGGAAUAUUGCGCAAUGGGCGCAAGCCUGACGCAGCGACGCCGCGUGAGGGAUGAAGGUCUUCGGAUCGUAAACCUCUGUCAGCAGGGAAGAACGGUCACUUUGCUAAUCAGCAGUGCAUUGACGGUACCUGCAGAGGCAGCACCGGCUAACUCCGUGCCAGCAGCCGCGGUAAUACGGAGGGUGCGAGCGUUAAUCGGAAUUACUGGGCGGAAGGCGCUCGUAGGCGGUAUGGUAAGUCAAGGGUGAAAUCCCCGCGCUCAACGUGGGAACUGCCUGUGAAACUGGCAAACUGGAGUGUGGGAGAGGAUAGUGGAAUUCCAGGUGUAGGAGUGAAAUCCGUAGAGAUCUGGAGGAACAUCAGUGGCGAAGGCGACUAGCUGGAACAUAACUGACGCUGAGGAGCGAAAGCGUGGGUAGCAAACAGGAUUAGAUACCCCUGUAGUC